AGUCUUAUAGUUUAUAAAAAUAUAAAAUUGCAAAUUUUAAGUAGGGUAGUCCUAAGACUU
rnacentral:tRNA from 3 species